GACGAACGCUGGCGGCGCGCUUAACACAUGCAAGUCGAACGGAAAGGCCUGCUUUCCCUUGUGGAUUGCGGGUACUCGAGUGGCGAACGGGUGAGUAACACGUGAGUGAUCUGCCCCCAACUUGGGUAUAAGCCUGGGAAACUGGGUCUAAUUCCCGAUAGGACUGCAGGGUGGUGCCUGUGGUGGAAAACGAUUUUCUAGUGGUUGGGGAUGAGCUCGCGGCCUAUCAGCUUGUUGGUGGGGUAAUGGCCUACCAAGGCGGCGACGGGUAGCCGGCCUGAGAGGGUGGACGGCCAAAUUGGGACUGAGAUACGGCCCAGACUCCUACGGGAGGCAGCAGUGGGGAAUAUUGCACAAUGGGCGGAAGCCUGAUGCAGCGACGCCGCGUGGGGGAUGACGGCCUUCGGGUUGUAAACUCCUUUCGACCGCGAGGAAGCCACCUGGUUGGAAGGGUGGUGACGGUAGUGGUAGAAGAAGCACCGGCUAACUACGUG
rnacentral:rRNA from 1 species